rnacentral:rRNA from 1 species
AUGGCGGCAUCCCUGAUCCAAGAUCCCGUGAUCUCGACGACCUCGACCUGCGCGCCGGAGAGGAAGCGGGGCGAACACGUGUUCAAAAUUGAAGGCUACAGCGUGUGCAAGGGCUUCGGCGUCGGCAAGUUCAUCCGGUCGGCCACCUUCUCCGUCGGGGGCCACGACUGGUGUGUCCGCUACUACCCCGACGGUGUCACAGAGGCCUACAGAGACUACGUCUCAGUCUACCUCGAGCUCAUGAACAGAGAUGUGGAGGUGCUGGCGCUGUGCCAUCUGACGCUGGUCCAGUAGGCUACAGGGUCGCCGGCACAAUUUGCAUUGCCAAAACUAAUGGCGCGUAGUAUAACCUGGUCCUGGGGCUAUGCCACGUUCGCGACGAGGAGCGACCUCGAAGCGUCUUCGCACUGGUACAUCCCCGACGAUGUCCUUCUCAUUAAGUGCGAGCUCACUGUUAUCAAGCCAAGGGUAGCACAGGUGCCUCCUUCGGACUUGUCGGAAAAUCUUAGAAGUUUGCUGGAGGAGGGGGAGGGAUCGGAUGUGUCUUUCAAGGUCAAAGACGAGGUUUUCACUGCCCACAAGAUCGUCCUUGCAAUGCGCUCGCCGGUCUUCAAGGCCGAACUCUACGGGCCAAUGAGGGACAAAUGUGAGCAAAGUAUAACCAUCAAAGAUAUGGAGCCUGCUGUUUUCAAAGCAUUGCUUCACUUCAUCUACUCAGAUGAGUUGCCUCCCAAUCCCAUGGACGAUCUCAAUGAUGAUGACAAAGAAGAAAUGGUCAAGCAUUUGCUCGUGGCUGCGGACAGAUAUGGCAUGGAGAGGAUGAAGUUGAUGUGUGAGAGCAAACUUUGCAAGUUUCUUGAGGCCAGUAAUGUGGCGACCACGUUGGCUCUUGCUGACCAGCAUCAUUGCAGCAAGCUCAAAGAUGCUUGCAUUGGAUUUAUCAACUCUUUAGAUAGAGUGGAUGAUGUGAUGACUAGUACAGGGUAUCAGCACCUGAAAAUAGCAUGUCCUAGUGUCUUUGCUGAUAUGUGGGAGAAAGCUGCGAAGACUCGCAGAAUACAGUAG